GGAAUUGUGGCUUAGUGGUAGAGCGCCCACCUAGCGUGUGUGAGGCACUGGGUUUGAUCCUCAGCACCA
rnacentral:tRNA from 1 species